rnacentral:rRNA from 1 species
AUGGAGGCGUUUAAGAUGCUGGGCCGACCGAUUGUGGUGGACGAGCUGUCUCUUAUCAGGUUGGGGCCUGUGAGGAUGAUAUUGGCUUGUAAAGCUCCGGAGAAACUCAAUGUGAUGGUGGAAGUGUGGUUCAAUCAUGAGGGGUACCAGGUCAAGGUGGACCUUGGGCGGCCCAAGCGUGGGGGCGAAGCUGCUGCUCAUGGAUCCGGUCCCUUAGACAAGCAACCCCCCAGCGGCUCAGAUAAGGGUGACCGUGCGCUGCCUCUGGGAAACAACAUCAAGCACAGUGGGGGCACAAAGGGCAAGGAUAAGGAGGGUCCUAAUGGUGCGCAUGGAGCGGCGGUGGAUAAAGAUGUGAGGAUGGAUGGACAGGAGGAUGAGCUUGAGGAUAGUAUCCAAGAUACCUCCAUUGACACCGAGACGUGGGACAAGCUGGGUGCUCUUGCUGCUGGGGCCAUGGGGGUGGCUACCCAAGACACGGCGGUGAGUGUGCCUCCCCUGGCGCGCUCCCUCAUGGUGGCUUUUGAUGAAUAUGGUUCCAACCUCUCGGUACUGGUCCUGGAGCGCUACCCGAACCCUGGGGUGGUGGGGGCUCCCAUAGCAGACGAGGGACGUCUCCCGCCCUCCUCUCCGGUGGCUGUGGGGACGGACUCGGGAUGUGUGCUGAACGAGGGGAGCGAGCUGACGCCUGCUUCUACACGACGCGGUUCCAGUGGCUCCGGCACACAACCCAAAAAUAUGGCGGGGAGGAAGCGGGCGAGCAAGCCGGUGCCCCCCUCGUCCUCUGUGGCUGAGGCGGCGCUAGGAGGGGACCUGGGGGCGGCGCUGGCGACGACUGGGACAUGCAUCAAGGCUAAGCGUUCCAAGGCGACCCCGGUGGUGCAGCGGGCGCCGAUCGUCCGGGCCAAGGCCAAGCUGGGGGAGUUGUCCUCUAUGGAGAGUGCCAAGCUCCGCCUCGCUGACAAGAACAUGGAAACCUCAGGGGCCAUCGUACGCAACUCAAAGAGUUCAUGGCCAAAGAACGGAUCGAUGCAGUAG